rnacentral:misc_RNA from 1 species
UGUACUGCCACUACUCCAUUUGAGGGUCAUCAGAGGAUAAUUGUGUGUGAUUUGAUGAAGAACGGCAGUUUACAUGACCAUUUGUUUGGAUCUCAGAAGGAAAAGCUUAGUUGGCCUGUAAGGCAAAAGAUUGCACUGGGGACCGCCAGGGGAUUGGCUUACUUGCAUUAUGGAGCUCAACCAGGAAUCAUUCAUAGGGAUAUUAAAGCCAGUAAUAUACUUCUCGAUGAAAGGUUUGAGGCUAAGGUGGCGGAUUUUGGUCUGGCAAAGUUUGCGCCAGAGGGUGCAACACAUUUAAGCACUCGGGUGGCUGGAACUAUGGGAUAUGUUGCUCCUGAGUAUGCUUUGUAUGGACAAUUGACAGAAAGAAGCGAUGUGUAUAGCUUUGGUGUUGUGCUUCUUGAGCUUUUGAGUGGAAAGAAGGCACUUGGUGUGAGUGAAGAGAGCCAGCCUGCUCUUGUGACUGAUUGGGCAUGGUCAUUGGUGAGGAAAGGGAGAACUUUAGAUGUUAUUGAAGAUGGUAUGCCAGAGUUAGGCCCUCAGGAUAUUUUGGAGAAGUAUGUAUUAAUUGCAGUUCUUUGUUCUCAUCCACAGUUAUAUGCCAGGCCAACUAUGGAUCAGGUUGUGAAAAUGUUGGAAACAGACCAGUCAAUUCCCGCUAUCCCAGAAAGGCCAAUUCCACUGGUAGCCGAGAUGGAUGAUAUCGAGAGAUCGGUAAGCAGUAGCUGGUCAGGUCAUCUCUCUAGUCCGGCUGGCUACCGAACAUAUAUGCUCGAGAACGAUCACCCUUCUAGCCACAACGAGGCAAGGUCUAGUUCUAGCCACAAUGA